AGAUAUUAGCUUAAUAACUUAUGUGAUGGGUUUCCAAACUUUAUUGAUGCAUGUUCAAAUGCUCUGAAGUCAUCAUCCCUCCCAUUUGUCAAACUAUGCAACAACCCUGAAGCAACUAAAACAAUUGCUUACAUGGAAAGUGGAGUUAUUUUUAGCUGUUUUGCUAAGGGAUCCAGUUUCUUCUCUACUUUUAAGGCAGCAACAGAAGCUAGUGUGAGCUGUUGGUUUCUAUGUUCUUGAUUCUACAAGCUUUCAGCUUGCAAUAAAGGAAGGGGUCAAGAUACCCAAGAAAAAUACCCUGAACAAUUUCGCUCACCAUACAUUACUUAAAAGCAGUUGAGCAAAAAUCUUUGGUUUUCAGGGAAAAGGAAAAAAACAGAAGGGGAUAUCUUUACACAUCUUCCCUCUGGGUAGGAUGCGGAUGACUGUCCUAAUACAAAUUCAGUUGCAAUUUCAUUCAAGCCGAGAAAACUUUGAACCAAACUUUGCGCCAGACUGCUUCUUUGUGUUGCCUACCAGGAUCAUGGCGGGAGGCCACUGAAUGUCGUGGCUCUUGUGCAUGUACGCUUGGGGGAGCUGGGAAAGGAGAAAAGGAAACGAGAAAGCAUCUGAGAGCGCUUUGCGGAGGAAAAAAGCUUAAAAUACAGGAAAGAAGAAUGGAGGACAUAGCAGGGUGAAAAAGUCCAUUGAAGCAGUAAGGGAUAUGAAGAAGCUGGAGGGGUUCAGUCUGGCCAGACCACCAAUCGCCCUUGAAGAGCCUGCUGUCAAGACUGGCUGUCACAACACCUGUUUCUGGGUUAUUUUAAAUUCAGACCUGGUUCCUCGAUCCAGUUCCAUGUAUUGGCUCUGCAAACAGCUGUGUCAGCACAGCUGCAGCGAUGGAGCAGGGCAGCAAUGAGCGGCAUGAGAAGGAGGAGUGGGAAUUGCUUACACUGGAAUUGCCACCAAAAAACAUUUGAGGUUAUAGCCGUAUAGCCCUCUAAAGCAGAAGAAACACUUGGCACCAGAAACUUAGUUUAAAAAGAUAAGAAAAUGAAAAGAGCUAUGAUUAAUUCACUAGGAGCACAGUAAGAUUCAAGGAGCUCACCCCGCUGUACCUGGUCCCCACUUUUUGGCACAGCAUAAAAUAAAAGAUUAAAUGUUUCUCCCUUAAAAUGUAUU
rnacentral:lncRNA from 1 species